rnacentral:sRNA from 1 species
UCAAAUUCAAUAAAUGACUGUGCGUUUG